rnacentral:rRNA from 1 species
CUGACGGAGCAACGCCGCGUGAGUGAUGAAGGUUUUCGGAUCGUAAAACUCUGUUGUUAGGGAAGAACAAGUACCGUUCGAAUAGGGCGGUACCUUGACGGUACCUAACCAGAAAGCCACGGCUAACUACGUGCCAGCAGCCGCGGUAAUACGUAGGUGGCAAGCGUUGUCCGGAAUUAUUGGGCGUAAAGCGCGCGCAGGCGGUUUCUUAAGUCUGAUGUGAAAGCCCCCGGCUCAACCGGGGAGGGUCAUUGGAAACUGGGGAACUUGAGUGCAGAAGAGGAGAGUGGAAUUCCAGUGUAGCGGUGAAAUGCGUAGAGAUGUGGAGGAACACCAGUGGCGAAGGCGACUCUCUGGUCUGUAACUGACGCUGAGGCGCGAAAGCGUGGGGAGCGAACAGGAUUANAUACCCUGGUAGUCCACGCCGUAAACGAUGAGUGCUAAGUGUUAGAGGGUUUCCGCCCUUUAGUGCUGCAGCAAACGCAUUAAGCACUCCGCCUGGGGNAGUACGGUCGCAAGACUGAAACUCAAAGGAAUUGACGGGGGCCCGCACAAGCGGUGGA